AGCAGCCGCGGUAAUUCCAGCUCCAAUAGCGUAUAUUAAAGUUGUUGCAGUUAAAAAGCUCGUAGUUGAAUUUCGGGGUUAGUAGGUUGGUCAUGCCUCUGGUAUGUACUGGUCUCACUGAUUCCUCCUUCCUGAUGAACCUUAAUGCCAUUAAUUUGGUGUUUUGGGGAAUUUGGACUGUUACUUUGAAAAAAUUAGAGUGUUUAAAGCAAGCUAACGCUUGAAUACAUUAGCAUGGAAUAAUGAAAUAGGACGUUCGAUCCUAUUUUGUUGGUUUCUAGGAUUGACGUAAUGAUUAAUAGGGAUAGUUGGGGGCAUUAGUAUUCAAUUGUCAGAGGUGAAAUUCUUGGAUUUAUUGAAGACUAACUACUGCGAAAGCAUUUGCCAAGGAUGUUUUCAUUAAUCAAGAACGAAAGUUAGGGGAUCGAAGACGAUCAGAUACCGCCGUAGUCUUAACCAUAAACUAUGCCGACUAGGGAUCGGAUGAUGUUAAUUUUUUAAUGACUCA
rnacentral:rRNA from 1 species